rnacentral:rRNA from 1 species
AGUGAACGCUGGCGGUAGGCCUAACACAUGCAAGUCGAACGGCAGCACAGUAAGAGCUUGCUCUUACGGGUGGCGAGUGGCGGACGGGUGAGGAAUACAUCGGAAUCUACUUUUUCGUGGGGGAUAACGUAGGGAAACUUACGCUAAUACCGCAUACGACCUACGGGUGAAAGCAGGGGAUCUUCGGACCUUGCGCGAUUGAAUGAGCCGAUGUCGGAUUAGCUAGUUGGCGGGGUAAAGGCCCACCAAGGCGACGAUCCGUAGCUGGUCUGUGAGGAUGAUCAGCCACACUGGAACUGAGACACGGUCCAAACUCCUACGGGAGGCAGCAGUGGGGAAUAUUGGACAAAGGGCGCAAGCCUGAUCCAGCCAUACCGCGUGGGUGAAGAAGGCCUUCGGGUUGUAAAGCCCUUUUGUUGGGAAAGAAAAGCAGCAGGUUAAUACCCCGCUGUUCUGACGGUACCCAAAGAAUAAGCACCGGCUAACUUCGUG